rnacentral:rRNA from 1 species
GACGAACGCUGGCGGCGUGCCUAAUACAUGCAAGUCGAGCGCAGGAAAUCGACGGAACCCUUCGGGGGGAAGUCGACGGAAUGAGCGGCGGACGGGUGAGUAACACGUAAAGAACCUGCCCUCAGGUCUGGGAUAACCACGAGAAAUCGGGGCUAAUACCGGAUGGGUCAUCGGACCGCAUGGUCCGAGGAUGAAAGGCGCUUCGGCGUCGCCUGGGGAUGGCUUUGCGGUGCAUUAGCUAGUUGGUGGGGUAAUGGCCCACCAAGGGGACGAUGCAUAGCCGACCUGAGAGGGUGAUCGGCCACACUGGGACUGAGACACGGCCCAGACUCCUACGGGAGGCAGCAGUAGGGAAUCUUCCACAAUGGACGAAAGUCUGAUGGAGCAACGCCGCGUGAACGAUGAAAGCCUUCGGGUCGUAAAGUUCUGUUGUAAGGGAAGAACAAGUGCCGCAGGCAAUGGCGGCACCUUGACGGUACCUUGCGAGAAAGCCACGGCUAACUACGUGCCAGCCGCCGCUGUAA